CAAUGAUACGGUGAAUACGUUCCCGGACCUUGUACACACCGACCCGUCAAGCCAUGAAAGCCGGGGGACCUGUAAGUCGGUAACCGUAAGGAACCGCCUAGGGUAAAAUCGGUAAUUGGGGCUAAGUCGUAAACAAGGUACC
rnacentral:rRNA from 1 species